rnacentral:rRNA from 1 species
UACAGAGGGUGCAAGCGUUGUUCGGAAUUAUUGGGCGUAAAGGGCGCGUAGGCGGUGCGGUAAGUCUGUAGUGAAAUCUCUGGGCUCAACUCAGAGUCUGCUAUAGAAACUGCCGUGCUUGAGUGUGGGAGAGGUGAGUGGAAUUCCCGGUGUAGCGGUGAAAUGCGUAGAUAUCAGGAGGAACACCGGUGGUGUAAACGGCUUUCUGGACCAUAACUGACGCUGAUGCACGAAAGCGUGGGUAGCAAACAGG